UUUAAAAAGAGGCUGGUCACUACUCUGCACGGGCUUAUAUAGUAGUGGUCAGACAAAAAAUCACUCAGCUGUGAAAAAAGGCGUGCGGCCUUGACAUAAAGUAAAGGUUCACUUAUUAACCCUCGAAGCCCUUUGGCUUCUUCAUAUAAUGCACCUUAUCCUUCACAUCAAAAAUGAUGCUUGGAUAAGGUAACAUUAUAAAUA
rnacentral:lncRNA from 1 species